AGAGGAGUCACAAAAUAUAUAG
rnacentral:sRNA from 1 species